GACGAACGCUGGCGGCGUGCCUAACACAUGCAAGUCGAACGGACAGGCCCUGCUUUUGUGGGGUGCUCGAGUGGCGAACGCGUGAGUAACACGUGAGUAACCCGCCCUUGUCUUUGGGAUAACUUCAGGAAAAUGGGGCUAAUACCCGAUAGGAGCUCCUGCUGCCUGGGGGGGGUUGGAAAGUUUCGGCGGUAGGGGAUGGACUCACGGCUAACCACUUCGUUAGCUGGGUAGUGGGUUACCAAGGCUUCGACGGGUAGCCGGCCUGAGAGGGUGACCGGCCACAUGGGGACUGAGAGACGGACCAGACGGCAACGUGAGGCAACAGGGGAGAAUAUGGCGCAACGAGCGGAAGCCUGAGGCAACAACCCCCCGUGCGGGAUGACGGCUUUCUGGUGGUAAACAGAUUUCGACUGUGACGAAGCGUGAGUGACGGUAACGGGUAAAGAAGCACCGGCUAACUACGUG
rnacentral:rRNA from 1 species